rnacentral:rRNA from 1 species
AUUGAACGCUAGCUGCAGGCCUAACACAUGCAAGUCGAACGAGUGGCGGACGGGUGAGUAAUGUAUGGGAAACUGCCUGAUGGAGGGGGAUAACUACUGGAAACGGGAGCUAAUACCGCAUACCCUCAGAUGUGCCCAGAUGGGAUUCGCUAGUGGGUGGGGUAACGGCUAACCAAGGCGACGAGCCGUAGCGGGUCUGCGAGGAUGACCAGCCCCACUGGAACUGAGACACGGUCCAGACUCUAAGCGGAGGCAGCAGUGGGGAACAUUGAACAAGGGGAGCAACCCUGAUGUAACCAUGCCGCGUGUCUGAAAAGGGCAUUCGGGUUGUAAAGUACUUUCAGCGUGGAGGCGUUACCCGAAGAAGAAGCACCGGCUAACUCCGUGCCAGCAGCCGCGGUAAUAC